GGAGGGAUCAUUACACAAAUAUGAAGGCGGGCUGGAACCUCUCGGGGUUACAGCCUUGCUGAAUUAUUCACCCUUGUCUUUUGCGUACUUCUUGUUUCCUUGGUGGGUUCGCCCACCACUAGGACAAACAUAAACCUUUUGUAAUUGCAAUCAGCGUCAGUAACAAAUUAAUAAUUACAACUUUCAACAACGGAUCUCUUGGUUCUGGCAUCGAUGAAGAACGCAGCGAAAUGCGAUAAGUAGUGUGAAUUGCAGAAUUCAGUGAAUCAUCGAAUCUUUGAACGCACAUUGCGCCCUUUGGUAUUCCAAAGGGCAUGCCUGUUCGAGCGUCAUUUGUACCCUCAAGCUUUGCUUGGUGUUGGGCGUCUUGUCUCUAGCUUUGCUGGAGACUCGCCUUAAAGUAAUUGGCAGCCGGCCUACUGGUUUCGGAGCGCAGCACAAGUCGCACUCUCUAUCAGCAAAGGUCUAGCAUCCAUUAAGCCUUUUUUUCAACUUUUGACCUCGGAUCAGGUAGGGAUACCCGCUGAACUUAAGCAU
rnacentral:rRNA from 1 species